GAGAGAGAGAGAGAGAGAGAGAGAGGGAGAGGUCAGAUCCCACAGAAUUAAUCUGGGCCUUAAAGUGCACAUAGAGCUAAAAGAGGAAGUGAGAAAGAGUCUCUCUCCUUCUCUCUCUCUCUCUCUUUGC